GAUGAAGAACGUAGCGAAAUGCGAUAAGUAAUGUGAAUUGCAGAAUUCAGUGAAUCAUCGAAUCUUUGAACGCACAUUGCGCCCAUUAGUAUUCUAGUGGGCAUGCCUGUUCGAGCGUCAUUUCAACCCUUAAGCCUAGCUUAGUAUUGGGAAUCGACUUUACUGUCGUUCCUCAAAUUCAACGGCGGAUUUAUAGCAAUCUCUGUACGUAGUAAUUUUUUUCCUCGUUUUUGAAAUACUAUAAACCUCAGCCGCUAAACCCCCAAUUUUUCUAUGGUUGACCUCGGAUCAGGUAGGAAUACCCGCUGAACUUAAGCAUAUCAAUAAGCGGAGGA
rnacentral:misc_RNA from 1 species